GUCAGAAAGGAGCGAGUCAAACCCUUUUACUAACUUCCCCUCCCCAGCAAGUCCCCAUCCUGCCGCCGGUUUCUCCCCCAUCAACCUUAGCUGGUUCUGUAGCAAUCUCAGGCCCUCGCCCAGUGAGUCCCGCCAUCCUGGUCCUGUUUCCCUCGCUGAGGAGGUCAAUUUUUCUGGACUUAACUUCAGCUCUCGGCCACUUUCUAUCGAUCUGUUCUCUGGCUGGGCUGAACUGGACGCCAGGUUUCUCUUGGGGGUCCACAUUCUCACAGGCUCACCACCACUCCUCACCCAGGAAUACAACUUCAAGGAAAGAUGCUAAGUGAUUUGAAUCUCUUCCACUUGGAGCUGUGCUGGACCUUCAUUGCAGCAUGUGGGCUUCUUAGUUUCAGCACAUGGGAUCUAAUUCCCUGACCAGGGAUCAAAUCUGGGCCGUCCUGCAUUGGGAGCAUGGAAUCUUACCCACUGGACCACCAGCUCCGUGGCUUGCAGGAUCUGAGUUCCUCAACCAGGGCUCAAAAAGGUGCUCCCUGCAAUAGAAGUGUGAAGUCCUAACCACCAGGAAAUUCCUGGAUCUGAGCUCUUCACCUCUGCAAAUGACUGUCUUUGACAGAAGAGAAGAAGGCAGAGAACUGAUCUAAGGGAGCUGAUCCAUGUUUCAGAGACAAGAGGAUGAAAAGGGGCAUGCUAGCCUUUGGUGAUUUUCCCUCUUCAUUCUGAACUCCAGCAUUUCUUCCUGACUUCAGACAUCCUCUGUGAAGACUUGUCUCGCCGUGAAAAGGUGCAGCCAGUGGACUGUGGGCUCCGUAUCUCCUAUGUUGGCCAUAUCAUAAAUGCUCAGGAGAUGGUGGUGGUUGGUCAGCUGCUUUGAGAGUAUAUAAUCUACC
ensembl:lncRNA